rnacentral:lncRNA from 1 species
UUGAGAUUGUUACUGAUAAAAUGUAGUUUUAUUAAAUUAUAAAUUCCGUAACAAAAACGAGACAGAUCAGAAAGACCUCAAAAACAACCUACAAGGACUAGAUGGCAAAGCAAUGAAAAUGCCAUGAAGAGUGUAUAGGUAAGAAUUUGCGAUGGAAGUUAACAGCAUUUUUACAUUUCCAUUGAAGAAAGGUAAGUGAUUGCUCUUGUCUAGUAAAAACACAUUUUUAAACUCCAAGCUCACAUCUAUUUUCUCACAUUAAAUUAGCGUCCUGCUCACACCCCACAUCUUGCCUGCCUCCCACAUUGCUUUAGUGUUCUUUUCAUACAUCAAUCCAUGCAGAAAGUAGUAAGACACUUAACGCAACAGUCAGAUAAUGAAGACAAUUCAAGUUGUACAGUAGAUAUACAUUGGCCAAAAGGGACUGAGUUCUCCAAGGGGAGAUGCUACAAAAAUAAACACAAGACAUUUCAAGAAAACUGGGCAUGCUAAGCAGCUUUCAAACCAUUAAACAGGACAACCCAGUUUCCCUACAGUUAAUAGUCUUCCAAGCUGAGACAUGUUAAGAGACUUAAGUUAAACAGCCAAAUCUGUCUUCUCCCCUCACCCCCCCCCCCCCCACCAAACACACUGCUAGGUUUGAGUGCAAUGCCAACGUGGACAGAAAAUUUACAGAUACAGGACUGAGUUUUUAAUCGCAUGGCUCUAGAUUUAAACUUCAGUGACUGUGCACUGUCCAUCCGGCCUUCUAGAUCUUACACUUGUGUUUGCACCCCCGCCCCCUGCAACUGGUCUAUCUGCUCCCAAACUGGCUUGCACUUGCAUUCAAGUGUCUUCUGCUGGACAGAGGACAGGCGCUUGCUGAGGUGGGCAGACACCUCCUCACUAUCGCUGCUAGCAUCUGAUUCGGUCCCUCCUCAACAGAGGUGUUCGGGGGCUGGGCACCCUACAGAAGAUGACGAUUCGUGGUCUUCUUCUCCCUCUCCCUGUGACUCCUUUCAGCCAUAUUGUCUUCAUUUAUUUGCAAGUGGGCAAAAGAGUUCUCUAGGGAAUUGCUCGCAUCAGGUGAUGGUGUUGAAGGACUCAUGAGCUGACCAUCUAGCGAUGGCAGGGGCCUAGCAGAAAUGGAUGCUAGAGGCUGCCCAGCUGCAGCCCCCAGAGUCAGCGUGCUGUCUGCACCAUCAGCAGAGCUCUCUCUUGCCAGGUUGACAGUGUUAGCGUCACAGUCCAACCUCAGCCCAGCCACUCCCUUCUUUGGUAUAUCUAUUUAUGUCCCGUUUUAUUUUCUGCGGCGUCCAUGUUCAUUUCUCCUGUACUGAACCAUAUUUUCAAGGUCUGCUACGUAUAAAACCCGGCGAUUAGCAUUUCAGUGCUCUUUUUACCCUUGGAAAAGGCAUCUUCCAAGCUCUCUGCUGGUACGUUCAUCAUACUGCCACCAACCAUUUCUACCUUCAUAGUACCAAGCAUAUUCUCCAUUGCCUCUGCUUGCUGCUUUGAGUUCUUCUGGUGACAAUAAGGUUGGCUUGUCAAGAAAAUCCUCUGGAAUCUCCUGCCGGCAAAGUGCACAUCGUUUCCCAAGCCAAGAAGCUCCCUUCACACAUAGAUAGCAGAAAACAUGUUUACAAGGCAGACUUACUGGAUGCACACACGUUUGCAGAACAGAUAGCACAUUCAGGGACUGUCAGGGAAGGUGCUGCAUUAGCACACGACUCAUUUGUCUUCCUAAUUUGUGGGCAGCAUGUUGAUUGA